rnacentral:tRNA from 1 species
GCGCCCUUAGCUCAGUUGGAUAGAGCAACGGCCUUCUAAGCCGUGGGUCGCAGGUUCGAAUCCUGCAGGGUGCACCA